UGCUAUCGGGCUUGCAAAAGACAUGCAAGUCGUACGUCUGUCGAUUCGUCGGCAGGCGUGGCGAAAGGCUCAGUAACACGUCGUCAAUCUGCCCUGCGGAGGGGGAUAACCUCGGGAAACUGAGACUAAUCCCCCAUAGGUAUGGACACCUGGAAUGGGCCAAUACCGAAAGGAGUCUAUGACUCCACCGCAGGAUGAGGCAGCGGCCGAUUAGCUAGUAAGUGAUGUAACGGAUCACUUAGGCAAUGAUCGGUAGGGGCUAUGAGAGUAGGCGCCCCGAGAGGGAUACUGAGACACUGAUCCCAGCGCUACGGCGUGCAGCAGUCGGGAAUCGUGUCCAAUGCGCGAAAGCGUGAGACCGCGAGCCCGAGUGCUAGGGAAACCCCUAGCUGUGAUGGAGUGUGCAAAGCUCCAACAGCAAGCAGAGGGCAAGGCUGGUGCCAGCCGCCGCGGUAAAACCAGCUCUGCGAGUGCCUAGGACGAUUAUUGGGCUUAAAGCAUCCGUACCGGUCCGGUAGGUCCUUGAUCAAAUCUGCAAGCUCAACUUGUAGGCUGUCAAGGAUACCGCCGGACUAGGGAAUAGGAGAGGGCGACGGUACUGCGGGGGAAGCGGUGAAAUGCGUUGAUCCCCGCAGGACCCACAGUGGCGAAGGCGGUCGCCUAGAAUAUCUCCGACGGUGAUGGAUGAAAGCCAGGGGAGCGAAAGGGAUUAGAGACCCCUGUAGUCCUGGCUGUAAACGAUGAAGGACUAGGUGUUGGUCAUGGCCAAGGGCCUGGUCAGUGCCGAAGGGAAACUAUUAAGUCCUCCGCCUGGGGAGUACGGUCGCAAGGCUGAAACUUAAAUGAAUUGACGGGAAAGCGCCACAAGGGAUGGAAUGUGUGGCUUAAUUCGACUCAACGCGAGGAAACUCACCUGGAGCGACUGACAAAUGUGAGUCAGGCUGAAGACCUUACUCGAAUAAGUCAGAGAGGUAGUGCAUGGCCGUCUCAAGCUCGUGCCGUGAGGUGUGCUCUUAAGUGAGUAAACGAGCGAGACCCGCGCCCCUAUUUGCUAAGAGCGAGCUACGGCUCGGCUGAGGACAAUAGGGGGAUCGCCACCGACUAAGGUGGAUGAAAGUGCGGGCCACGGCAGGUCAGUAUGCUCCGAAUCUCCAGGGCUGCACACGCAUUACAAUGGACGGGACAAUGAGAUGCGACCCCGAAAGGGGAAGCGGACCUCCAAACCCGUCCGUAGUAGGGAUCGAGGUCUGCAACCGACCUCGUGAACGCGGAACCCCUAGUAUCCGCGUGCCAACAUCGCGCGGAGAAUGCGUCCACGCUUUUUGUACACACCGCCCGUC
rnacentral:rRNA from 1 species